UAGUUGGUGGGGUAAAGGCCUACCAAGACUAUGAUGUGUAGCCGGGCUGAGAGGUUGAACGGCCACAUUGGGACUGAGACACGGCCCAAACUCCUACGGGAGGCAGCAGUAGGGAAUUUUCGGCAAUGGAGGAAACUCUGACCGAGCAACGCCGCGUGAACGAUGAAGUAUUUCGGUACGUAAAGUUCUUUUAUUAGGGAAGAAUAAAUGAUGGAAAAAUCAUUCUGACGGUACCUAAUGAAUAAGCCCCGGCUAACUAUGUGCCAGCAGCCGCGGUAAUACAUAGGGGGCAAGCGUUAUCCGGAAUUAUUGGGCGUAAAGGGUGCGUAGGCGGUUAAAUAAGUUUAUGGUCUAAGUGCAAUGCUUAACAUUGUGAUGCUAUAAAAACUGUUUAGCUAGAGUAAGAUAGAGGCAAGUGGAAUUCCAUGUGGAGUGGUAAAAUGCGUAAAUAUAUGGAGGAACACCAGUAGCGAAGGCGGCUUGCUGGGUCUUUACUGACGCUGAGGCACGAAAGCGUGGGGAGCAAACAGGAUUAGAUACCCUGGUAGUCCACGCCGUAAACGAUGAGUACUAAAUGUUGGGUAAAACCAGUGUUGAAGUUAACACAUUAAGUACUCCGCCUGAGUAGUACGUACGCAAGUAUGAAACUUAAAGGAAUUGACGGGACUCCGCACAAGCGGUGGAUCAUGUUGUUUAAUUCGAAGGUACCCGAAAAACCUCACCAGGUCUUGACAUGCUUCUGCAAAGCUGUAGAAACACAGUGGAGGUUAUCAGUUGCACAGGUGGUGCAUGGUUGUCGUCAGCUCGUGUCGUGAGAUGUUGGGUUAAGUCCCGCAACGAGCGCAACCCUUAUUGUUAGUUGCCAGCACGUAAUGGUGGGGACUUUAGCAAGACUGCCAGUGAUAAAUUGGAGGAAGGUGGGGACGACGUCAAAUCAUCAUGCCCCUUAUGACCUGGGCUACAAACGUGAUACAAUGGCUGUUACAAA
rnacentral:rRNA from 1 species